rnacentral:rRNA from 1 species
AACCAGUACCGUGAGGGAAAGGCGAAAAGAACCCCGGCGAGGGGAGUGAAAAAGAACCUGAAACCGUUUACGUACAAGCAGUAGGAGCCUCUUUAUGGGGUGACUGCGUAACUUUUGUAUAAUGGGUCAGCGACUUAUAUUCUGUAGCAAGGUUAACCGUAUAGGGGAGCCGUAGGGAAACCGAGACUUAACUGGGCGAAUGAGUUGCUGGGUAUAGACCCGAAACCCGGUGAUCUAUCCAUGGGCAGGUUGAAGGUUGGG